AAACCAUGGUGGGGACAUAGUCUAAACAUUUCCUUGAAAUGCUCCCACGCAUUAUAAAGAGACUCCACAUCUUUUUGAUUAAACCGUGUGAUUUGGUCUCUUAGUUU
rfam:Medicago truncatula strain A17 chromosome 6, whole genome shotgun sequence.